AUACGUAGGUGGCGAGCGUUGUUCGGAUUUAUUGGGCGUAAAGGGUCCGCAGGGGGUUUGUCAAGUCUGAUGUGAAAUCCCGUGGCUCAACCACGGAAUUGCAUUGGAAACUAGCAGACUAGAGUGCUGGAGAGGUAAGCGGAAUUCCAGGUGUAGCGGUGGAAUGCGUAGAUAUCUGGAAGAACACCGAAAGCGAAGGCAGCUUACUGGACAGAUACUGACCCUCAGGGACGAAAGCUUGGGGAGCAAACAGGAUUAGAUACCCUGGUAGUCCACGCCGUAAACGUUGUGAACUUGUUGUGGGGAGAUUUAGCCCUCCCUGUGACGCAGCUAACGCCUUAAGUUCACCGCCUGGGAACUACGGUCGCAAGACUAA
rnacentral:rRNA from 1 species